rnacentral:rRNA from 1 species
GGCGGCGUGCCUAAUACAUGCAAGUCGAACGAACUCUGGUAUUGAUUGGUGCUUGCAUCAUGAUUUACAUUUGAGUGAGUGGCGAACUGGUGAGUAACACGUGGGAAACCUGCCCAGAAGCGGGGGAUAACACCUGGAAACAGAUGCUAAUACCGCAUAACAACUUGGACCGCAUGGUCCGAGUUUGAAAGAUGGCUUCGGCUAUCACUUUUGGAUGGUCCCGCGGCGUAUUAGCUAGAUGGUGGGGUAACGGCUCACCAUGGCAAUGAUACGUAGCCGACCUGAGAGGGUAAUCGGCCACAUUGGGACUGAGACACGGCCCAAACUCCUACGGGAGGCAGCAGUAGGGAAUCUUCCACAAUGGACGAAAGUCUGAUGGAGCAACGCCGCGUGAGUGAAGAAGGGUUUCGGCUCGUAAAACUCUGUUGUUAAAGAAGAACAUAUCUGAGAGUAACUGUUCAGGUAUUGACGGUAUUUAACCAGAAAGCCACGGCUAACUACGUGCCAGCAGCCGCGGUAAUACGUAGGUGGCAAGCGUUGUCCGGAUUUAUUGGGCGUAAAGCGAGCGCAGGCGGUUUUUUAAGUCUGAUGUGAAAGCCUUCGGCUCAACCGAAGAAGUGCAUCGGAAACUGGGAAACUUGAGUGCAGAAGAGGACAGUGGAACUCCAUGUGUAGCGGUGAAAUGCGUAGAUAUAUGGAAGAACACCAGUGGCGAAGGCGGCUGUCUGGUCUGUAACUGACGCUGAGGCUCGAAAGUAUGGGUAGCAAACAGGAUUAGAUACCCUGGUAGUCCAUACCGUAAACGAUGAAUGCUAAGUGUUGGAGGGUUUCCGCCCUUCAGUGCUGCAGCUAACGCAUUAAGCAUUCCGCCUGGGGAGUACGGCCGCAAGGCUGAAACUCAAAGGAAUUGACGGGGGCCCGCACAAGCGGUGGAGCAUGUGGUUUAAUUCGAAGCUACGCGAAGAACCUUACCAGGUCUUGACAUACUAUGCAAAUCUAAGAGAUUAGACGUUCCCUUCGGGGACAUGGAUACAGGUGGUGCAUGGUUGUCGUCAGCUCGUGUCGUGAGAUGUUGGGUUAAGUCCCGCAACGAGCGCAACCCUUAUUAUCAGUUGCCAGCAUUAAGUUGGGCACUCUGGUGAGACUGCCGGUGACAAACCGGAGGAAGGUGGGGAUGACGUCAAAUCAUCAUGCCCCUUAUGACCUGGGCUACACACGUGCUACAAUGGAUGGUACAACGAGUUGCGAACUCGCGAGAGUAAGCUAAUCUCUUAAAGCCAUUCUCAGUUCGGAUUGUAGGCUGCAACUCGCCUACAUGAAGUCGGAAUCGCUAGUAAUCGCGGAUCAGCAUGCCGCGGUGAAUACGUUCCCGGGCCUUGUACACACCGCCCGUCACACCAUGAGAGUUUGUAACACCCAAAGUCGGUGGGGUAACCUUUUAGGAACCAGCCGCCUAAGGUGGGACAGAUGAUU